AAAUCUAUAUGCAUCGAGUCGAAUCGAUAAUCAAAAUCGAAAAUCGAAUCGAUUUUUAAGCUUGUGAAUCGGAAUUGAAUCGAUCUGGAACAUCUGAAUCAAUACCCAGCCCUAAAAAUAAGUGUGUCCACACCUUUUCAGCACUUAUUCGUCCUUGCGCGUCUAGUGAAUCAUGACUGUACUAAUUUAACUCCAAAAGAUGGUUUGCGCUGGCGCAAGCUGUUAGUAAAAACUAGCCCUUCAAAUUUUACAAUAGUAACUUUCAUUUCUAUGAAUUCAAGUUGCAAUUUAUUAAAAGUGUGAUUUAAAUUUUCAGCAUUAUAAAUGUGUAUUCUCAAAGUUAAUAUAUUUUAUUUUGUAGCUUGAGGCAGAAACUGACUUUCAUAUCGUUCAUAGAUAUGUGUGUACAUGCAUGCCAUUCUUGGACUUGAGCCUUGCAUAAUGUUUUUCUAUUAAAACUGAUGCCACCAUUCAUCUUGAGCUGCGUUGCCACGGCAGCAGGGGAGAGUGGUCAGAGCAGACCACAUCAGCAUCAGUGAUAGGAACAACGGCUGCUUCUGGCUCUCAGAACAGCAUCCCUCGGACAUACAAUACUUCAGCUCAAAAGUUUUACUGUUGACACUUGCACGCGCCUUCCAGUCCUUUUCAUGAAUACCCUUGAGGAGAAGACAAAUUACCCGUCUGAGAGCACUUUCCUGCUGACUCUAAAAAAAAGAGGAGAAUAUUUACUUAGUGUCAGUGACGUGAUUCUUUUUCUUAUGUUACAGGGGGAGGGAAUCGUCCACGCAUGUCCCGGCUAAGCGAUUUAUAGGACACACAGUUUGGACCAGAAUCCCUUGCAGAGGCCCUAGAGGAAUAAGAACUCAUCAGAGCCAUCGGUUCGCUGAAGUGAAGUCUCAUAAGUGAAGUCUCAAGGGACCUCGAAACCAUCCGCCCAUUCUCUGCAGAGGGGCCGCUGCCAUGAUAUAACCUCCAAGCCUCUAAGUGCACACACAAGCAAGACCCAGCGACCUCCGACGUCCCCCUUCCGCUCUGGAGGAGCCCCGAGGUGGUGCGCUGCCGCUGAGCUGAGUAUGCCUCAAAGUCCUGUGUUGUGAAAGGAGAGUGUGCGCUGGGCAGCACUAGGCGCCAUGCGGCCGUGGACGGGCUCGUGGCGCUGGAUUAUGCUGGUGCUGCUGGCCUGGGGCACGCUGCUUUUCUACAUCGGGGGUCACCUCGUGAAGGACAGCGAGAAUCCAGAACGGUCCAGCAGAGAG